GUCAGCAAGAGGACAGAGAGACGGUGGAUGGAGGCUGGGAGGUGUCGUGCAAAGCUUUGCGAAAUGUGGAAAGGAUUUUGACUUUUCCUCUGGGCGGGGUAGGUGAGAGAGACACCAGGAGACUGGCGAUGAGUAAUUGAGCUCAUUUUCAGGCAAGAACAAAGAUUCAAGGCUGACUCCCAGGAAUUAGAGAUCGGGUAGUACAACAUCAUAUCCCAGUUCAAUUCUAGAAGACAUUAUAGAACAGAUGGUUUCUGAGCAGGGAGAAGCCAACGGAGGUUCAGUAUGACCAAGUCAUGCCAGACUCCUGUCAGCCCCAGCCUGCUCCUGUAUAGCUCCAUGAACUGGAAGUCUUCAGCAGUCAGAUGCAUAUUAGGUGCCUUGGCCUCACCACUAGUGUGGUCUUACUAACGCUGCCCUAAACUUGAUAUACGUGCCCUGAUUCCACUCAGUCAGCUUUUCCCUAAGCCUCUAAGGUCUCUUAGUCUCUUGCUGAAACCAUUAUCUCAGCCCACCUGUACAGGGUCUUGAAAUCCUGUUAAUCUCUUGCAAAGUUCUUCCUUGACAAAACUCUCCCUUGAGAGACUGUCCUUGUAGUGGAUGUCUGCUGUCUCUCCAUGACCAGCAUCCACUUCUCCUUGUGCUGUAACAGCUUCGUACCUGGCCUUGAUAAAGGAUCCUUCCUCCACUCCCACUUCCGUGCUCAGCUCGGGGGAGCUCACUUUGUCUCCAGCUCUAGAGCAUAUCUUUAUCAUAUGAGCAAGGAGCCGCCACUGAAGAGUUUUAGUAUGUCCCUAUGAGGACAGAGUCAAUGGCAGGAUGGUGUGAUCAGAGACGCAUCUGGGGAGAAUCCCUCUGGGUGCAGGGUGAGGAAGAAACUGCAUGCAAGAAGACCAGCUGGAAGACUGUGGGGAGUUUUGAGGAAAGAAAUGGCAGUUUGGACUAGCAUAUUGGCAGGAGGUGGAAGAGAAGUAGAUCGACUCGAGUGACUUUUAGGAAUUAAAGUCAACAGGCUGGUGAUGAAUUGGAUAUGGGGGAUGGAGGGAGAAAGAGAUGUCACAAAUGAUUCCUAAGUUUGCGCUUUGUGCAAGUGAAUGGAUCACGGUGACUUCACCGAUAGAGGGAAAUCAGAAAGAGAAGCAGACUUGAGGAAGGGAGUCAUGAAGAGCAUGGCUUCAGUUCGGAGUAUUUUGAAACACCUAAGAGAAAGUGUUAAGAGGCAAUUGGAUAUACAAAUAUGGAACACUGAGGAUGUAUCUGAGUUGGAGAUAUUAACUUGCCAGUCCACGUAGAAAGCCAAA
rnacentral:lncRNA from 1 species